rnacentral:misc_RNA from 1 species
GAUGAAGAACGUAUCGAAAUGCGAUAAGUAAUGUGAAUUGCAGAAUUCAGUGAAUCAUCGAAUCUUUGAACGCACAUUGCGCCCCUUGGUAUUCCGAGGGGCAUGCCUGCUCGAGCGUCAUUAUAACCCCUCAAGCUCAGCUUGGUGUUGGGGCCUGCUGCACUGGCAGCCCUUAAAAUCAGUGGCGGCGCCAUCUGGCUCUAAGCGUAGUAAUUCUUCUCGCUAUGGAGUCCUGGUGGAUGCUUGCCAUCAACCCCCAAUUUUUCUAUGGUUGACCUCGGAUCAGGUAGGGAUACCCGCUGAACUAAAGCAUAUCAAUAAGCGGAGGA